rnacentral:tRNA from 1 species
UCCCUGGCAGUCCAGCAGUUAGGACUCCAUGCUCUCACUGUGGAGGACUUGGGUUCAAUUCCUGGUUGGGGAA